GAUGAACGCUGGCGGCGUGCUUAACACAUGCAAGUCGAACGUGAGGGGAUAGCAAUAUUCUUGAAAGUGGCGCACGGGUGAGUAAUACGUAGGUAACCUGCCCUGGAGUGGGGGAUAACAACUGGAAACGGUUGCUAAUACCGCAUGAAGCCAAGACACUGGGAAGUGACUUGGUAAAAAACUCUGGUGCUUCAGGAGGGGCCUACGGCCGAUUAGCUAGUUGGCGGGGUAAGAGCCCACCAAGGCAGUGAUCGGUAGCUGGUCUGAGAGGACGAUCAGCCACACGGGAACUGAGACACGGCCCAGACUCCUACGGGAGGCAGCAGCGGGGAAUUUUGGACAAUGGGGGCAACCCUGAUCCAGCCAUGCCGCGUGAGUGAAGAAAGGCCUUCGGGUUGGUUAAAGACGUCUUCUGG
rnacentral:rRNA from 1 species